GGCGAGGGCGGGGCCACCACCGAGCUUGAGCGUCCGCUUGCGAGUUUGCUGUCUGUACUUGCCGAGCGAGCGGACUCAGAGGACAGCAAGACAGACAGGUGGGACAGCAAGACAGACAGGCGGGCAGGCGGUCAAGCAGCCAGGCAGGCAGGCAGCCACGCGUGGCCCACGGCCGAGCGACGGUUGACGCGUGGAGAGCGAAACCCACGGCGACGUCACUCCAACGAGCGGACAAAGCAAAAGGGAACACGAGACUCCGGAAGAGUGUCUGUCUGUCCGUCCGUCCAGCGCACUUCCGGCAUGUCGCUGCCCGGCUCCCCCGCGCUUUACCGCUUGCCUGAGGAGAAAGUCCACGCUUCAGCGGCUCCCGGCGAAAGCUCCAGCCCCACGCAGCACUCGCACUCGCCGCGGCUCAGCGGCGGCACCGCGCUCGUUGGCUUCCUGCCCGCCGCGGGAUGCGCGCUGGCCGGCUUGGGCAACGGCGGCGUCACCCCGCUGGUGCCCGGGCUGCAGGGCGGGCUGGGUUCCCUGGGCUCGCCGACCUUGCCGGGGCCAGGGCCAGGGCCGUGUGGCGAGUGCAAGCUGGUGGAGGUGCACGGCGUCAAGGUGGCCAGCUUCAGCGCGCACGGCCAGGAGCUGAUCUGCCUGCCGCAGGUGUUCGACCUCUUCCUGAAGCACCUGGUGGGCGGCCUGCACACGGUCUACACCAAGCUCAAGAGGCUGGACAUCACGCCGGCGGUGUGCACCGUGGAGCAGGUCCGUGUGUUGCGGGGGCUCGGCGCCAUCCAGCCCGGGGUCAACCGAUGCAAGCUCAUCUCCAGGACGGACUUUGAGAUCCUCUACCAGGACUGCACCAGCGCCAGGUCAGUGAACAGCUCUCGUCCGGGUCGUCCUCCCAAGCGCUGUUCUUUGGGCGCCGGUGGCGACAGCCCGAGGCUUCUUCACCCGGGCCUGCUGUCCCCCAACCUGCUCUCUCACACCGGCCUUACAGCGGCCGCCAUGGCUGAACUCCAGAAGCUGCACAAGAUGAAGAUGAUGAUGAGGCUGCAGAACGGAAACGAAUCGGACAACGACGACCUGCACUCCAACGCAGGAGGGAGUGAGUGCUCCUGGGACAAGGAGCGCCCAAGCGACAGACCCGGAGAAGGAGCGGCGGCCGCGGCAGCGGCAGCGGCAGGGCGGGCCCUGGCUUUGGGAGCCCUCAGCCAGCAGCAGCUGGCCAACAGACUGGAGCUGCCCUUUGUGAUGAUGCCCCACCCGUUGCUGCCCGUGGGCCUGCCGCCCGCCUCGGUCGCCAUGGCCAUGUCGCAGAUGAACCAGCUCGGCACUAUCGCCAACAUGGCCGCCGCCGCUCAGCAGAUCCACCUGCGCCAGACGCCUGUCAUCAAGGAGCGCGCGUGCCGCAGUCCCUCGCCCUCUGCCGACGAGACGGACACUCCUCGGCGGUCGCGGACCAGUAGCUCCGCCUCCAGCUCACCGGAAAGACUCGGAAAACUUGAAAUCAAUGGCAUGCUUCCGAUUCCGACUCGGUCGGGUUCUCCUUCUUCGGGCCCGCUGUGGACGGACGCUGCGACGCCUGCGGAGAAUAUGGCAAAGGACAAAGAAGACCAAGCCUCGCCGGGACGAGCCCCGCCCGCCACCUUCCCCGCCCCGUUUCUUUUCGCCGAUAGCCUGUCGUCUGUGGAGACGCUCCUCACCAACAUACAGGGCCUCCUGAAGGUGGCGGUGGAGAACGCCCGCGUGCAGGACAAGCAGAUCCAGGCGGAGAAAAGGGAGCUGAAGAUGGAGCUGGACCGCGAACGAGAAAUGAGAGAGAGCCUGGAGCGCCAGCUGACCUCGGAACUGCAGAGCAGAGUGUCCUUCCAGAAACGUCUGAAGAAGGAGAAGAAGGCCAAGAGGAAGCUGCAGGAGGCACUGGAGUUUGAGUCCAAGCGCAGACGGCAGCCGGGGGGUGAGGACGCCAGGGAACUCUCGCCCGAGCCCGACGAUGCCGCCUCCCUUUGACCGGCAGGACCGACUCGACGGGAACCCCCGAGACAAGGUUGGCAAAACCAAACGCGUGUGUGCCGCCGUCCUGCCUGCCUGACGUUGACAAGCUUUGUUGUGGAAUCUCUGGCUUUCCUGAAGACCACCGUCACGUUCUAGAAAUGUGAUAUCAGCCCAACGCCACGGCAUUCUCCUCAACAAAUCUUUGCCUCGGACGGACGGACGGACGGACGGACGGACGGAGGUCGGGCGGGGCGAGGCGGGACGCAGCAAAACGUCACCUUGUUUUCUGUGCGCAUGCUGGCGCAAGUGGCGGAUUUGGAACAACGGGAGCGCACCUCAUGGGCUGGCCCACUCCGAUUGGACGGGAGUCAAGCCGACGCCACAAGGAGACUCUUGAACAAAAGAACUUUCUUUGUCUUGUGUCUCACUUCCUUCCUUUUCUGUGGUUUGACUCCUCCAGUUUUGUUUGGAGUGUUUUUGUGGGGGGAAAAAAGCAAAGUUUUUCCUCUCCCGCUCUUUGUGAAUUGGAGAAGAACGGCAGGCAGGCAGGCAGGCACAAAUUGGUGGCCCUUGCCUUUCCUCAGCCAGCGAUGGGUGUCUCCUCCUUCCUCGCUUAUAGUCGAUGUCCCCCUAAUGGAAAGCUGAGCGCGCGACGGACGGACGAACCGCAGUAUGAGAAGGGAUGGACGAGAAACGAUGGAGGGAACGAGGAAGGAUGGAGAGGGGACAACGUGGAGGACGUGAGUAACCACAACCGACAAACACUUUGAGGUAACGGCGGCCAUGGCCAGGCCUGAACCACUUCCAAACGGAAACAAAAAUCAAAUCACCAUUGUUUUUUUCCCCCUCAAUAUUGUGAUUGCCGUGUCAAGGUCCUAAUUCCAUGUUUUUUGAGGUCUUUUCUUUUUAUACAAGCACAGCAAUAAAUAAAGCCCGUUUACAAUUCA